GACGAACGCUGGCGGCGUGCUUAACACAUGCAAGUCGAACGAUGAACCGGUGUCGGCCGGGGAUUAGUGGCGAACGGGGGAGUAACACGUGGGCAAGCUGCCCUGCACUCUGGGAUAAGCGUGGGAAACUGGGUCUAAUACCGGAGACGAAACUCCGAUGCAUCUUGGGGGGUGGAAAGUUCCGGCUGUUAGGGAUUAGCCCGCGGCCUAUCGGCUUGUUGGUGGGGUAAUGGCAUACCAAGGCGACGACGGGUAGCCGGCCUGAGCGGGUGACCGGCCACACUGGGCCUGAGCCACGGCCCAGACCCCUACCGGACGCAACGGUGGGGAAGAUUGCACAAUGGGCGCGAGCCUGAUGCAACGACGCCGCGUGGGGGAUGACGGCCUUGGGGUUGUAAACCUAUUUCAGCAUGGCCGAAGCGAUAGUGACGGUACCUGCAGAAGAAGCACCGGCUAACUACGUG
rnacentral:rRNA from 1 species